UAUAACAUACCCAGGUCACCACAAGACAUUAAAUAAAGGAUCAAACAACUGUACUUACAAAGCAUAAAGAGAGAUAAUUUAAGUCUUAAACAUUAUAGAAAUAAUGAAACAUUAAGAAGUCCAAAGGUAAGUCACCAAACGAUUAUAAUUCCUUGACGAGUUUGCCAUCCACCAUGGCAUUGUAAGGAUUCACCUCAGAGAAAUCUAUUCCGGGGUGAAUGAUGCAUGCCUGUUCAAGGGCCAACUCAAUGCUGACCGCAUACAAACCAACUAUGUCAUUCUUCAUGACCUCGACACUAUUCGCCGGCUCCGCCUCCUUCUGACCAAU
rnacentral:lncRNA from 1 species